rnacentral:rRNA from 1 species
GACGAACGCUGGCGGCGUGCUUAACACAUGCAAGUCGAACGGAAAGGCCCUGCUUUUGUGGGGUGCUCGAGUGGCGAACGGGUGAGUAACACGUGAGUAACCUGCCCUUGACUUUGGGAUAACUUCAGGAAACUGGGGCUAAUACCGGAUAGGAGCUCCUGCUGCAUGGUGGGGGUUGGAAAGUUUCGGCGGUUUGGGAUGGACUCGCGGCUUAUCAGCUUGUUGGGGGGGUAGUGGCUUACCAAGGCUUUGACGGGUAGCCGGCCUGGGAGGGUGACCGGCCACAUUGGGACUGAGAUACGGCCCAGACUCCUACGGGAGGCAGCAGUGGGGAAUAUUGCACAAUGGGCGGAAGCCUGAUGCAGCAACGCCGCGUGCGGGAUGACGGCCUUCGUGUUGUAAACCGCUUUCGCCUGUGACGAAGCGUGAGUGACGGUAAUGGGUAAAGAAGCACCGGCUAACUACGUG